CAGGGAGACAACAAAAUGUUUAAUAUUAUUAUUUUGUCACCUUAGGUCGAUCGGUAUCUCACGUUUUUAAUUUAUUAAGAAUUUCAUUUCCUAAGUUUUUCUAGGUCACACCCAUUAUUUUUCCUGGGCCAUUAGCUCAGGUGGUUAGAGCGCACCCCUGAUAAGGGUGAGGUCCCUGGUUCAAGUCCAGGAUGGCCCAUAUCUCUAUGUUGGGGGUAUAGCUCAGUUGGUAGAGCGCCUGCUUUGCAAGCAGGAUGUCAGCGGUUCGAGUCCGCUUACCUCCACUGAUCACCACCUCUUCCAUAACCGGUAGAAAGGAAAUUUUUUGAGUUGUGAUCAAAUUCUGAAAGAAUCUAGCUUCCUAAUGAAAUCAUUAAGAUGCUGGACUCAUUGAAUUAAUUUCAUUGUUUUCAGAGAACCUUGACAACUGCAUAGAUUAUUUUUAAAGACAAUAAGCAUCUUUAAUGAUGCGGAUUUAUUAUUUGUGCAAAUGCAUUAAUAACAAUUCUAUUAAGCUGAUGCUUCAAUAUUUGAAGUUAUU
rnacentral:tRNA from 1 species